rnacentral:rRNA from 1 species
GACGAACGCUGGCGGCGUGCCUAAUACAUGCAAGUAGAACGCUGAAGGAGGAGCUUGCUUCUCUGGAUGAGUUGCGAACGGGUGAGUAACGCGUAGGUAACCUGCCUGGUAGCGGGGGAUAACUAUUGGAAACGGUAGCUAAUACCGCAUAAUAGUAGAUGUUGCAUGACAUUUGCUUAAAAGGUGCAAUUGCAUCACUACCAGAUGGACCUGCGUUGUAUUAGCUAGUUGGUGAGGUAACGGCUCACCAAGGCGACGAUACAUAGCCGACCUGAGAGGGUGAUCGGCCACACUGGGACUGAGACACGGCCCAGACUCCUACGGGAGGCAGCAGUAGGGAAUCUUCGGCAAUGGACGGAAGUCUGACCGAGCAACGCCGCGUGAGUGAAGAAGGUUUUCGGAUCGUAAAGCUCUGUGUAAGAGAAGAACGAGUGUGAGAGUGAAAAGUUCAC